rnacentral:rRNA from 1 species
AAAACGACUCUCGGCAACGGAUAUCUCGGCUCUCGCAUCGAUGAAGAACGUANCGAAAUGCGAUACUUGGUGUGAAUUGCAGAAUCCCGUGAACCAUCGAGUCUUUGAACGCAAGUUGCGCCCGAAGCCNUUNGGCCGAGGGCACGUCUGCCUGGGCGUCACGC